GACGAACGCUGGCGGCGUGCUUAACACAUGCAAGUCGAGCGGUAAGGCCCUUUCGGGGGUACGACGAGCGGCGAACGGGUGAGUAACACGUGGGUGACCUGCCCUCAGCUCUGGGAUAAGCCGUGGGAAACCGGGUACUAAUACUGGAUAUGACUCCAUGACGCAUGUUGGUGGGGUGGAAAGCCUUGUGCGGCUGAGGAUGGGCCCGCGGCCUAUCAGCUUGUUGGUGGGGUGANGG
rnacentral:rRNA from 1 species